AUUGAACGCUGGCGGCAUGCUUUACACAUGCAAGUCGAACGGCAGCACGGACUUCGGUCUGGUGGCGAGUGGCGAACGGGUGAGUAAUACAUCGGAACGUACCCAGUAAUGGGGGAUAACUAUCCGAAAGGAUAGCUAAUACCGCAUACGCCCUACGGGGGAAAGAGGGGGAUCGCAAGACCUCUUGUUAUUGGAGCGGCCGAUGGCUGAUUAGCUAGUUGGUGGGGUAAAGGCCUACCAAGGCAACGAUCAGUAGCGGGUCUUAGAGGACGAUCCGCCACACUGGAACUGAGACACGGUCCAGACUCCUACGGGAGGCAGCAGUGGGGAAUCUUGGACAAUGGGCGCAAGCCUGAUCCAGCAAUGCCGCGUGCGUGAAGAAGGCCUUCGGGUUGUAAAGCGCUUUUGUCAGGGAGCAAAUCCUUGUGGCUAAUACCCACCGGGGAUGAGAGUACCUGAAGAAUAAGGACCGGCUAACCACGUGCCAGCCGCCGCCGUAAAAC
rnacentral:rRNA from 1 species